AAAAAGCUACUGGUUAAUCUAUGAAACGAACCAACGAGUCUUCUGCUUCUGCAGUAUCGUCUUUGUCUUCUGCUAUAAUAGUCGGUUGCCUACAGAAAGGUUUUGUCUUGAUGAGAGCCAUUGAGUAUGUUUGAAAAGGAUUAUCUUUUUUUGUUCAAUGGAAGAGUUACAUUUACAUACUGGAUUUAAAGAGAAUAGAUUAUAAUGAACUAUCUAUAAUUUGAAGUGCCUUUGAUAGUUCUAAUUUAUCAACUUUGUAGAUUUGGGAAUGCUAAGCAUAAUUUAGUAAUAUUCAAGAACAACAAAGGUACCAAGAUGCUUUUAACCGUGUACUACAUGGCAGCCACCUGGUUGCAGUCUUGGCGUUUGAGUUCCAUGCGAACCAAAAUUGUUCAGCUACGUAAAGAUAGAGGUUCACUUCUGUUGUUUAAAAGUCAAGAAUCGGCAUCUCAACAGGAUGCAGGUUUACAGAUUCAAGCUGUAAAUUCUACAUACUGUUCUAACAGUCGUGAUGCUCGAAUUGGAGAUCUGUUGUGCUAUUCUGGCAACAAGCAUGGAGUCUCACUUUUCCCUCAGCUAAUAUUGGACACAUCCAAUUGGAUUGGAGUGCCAGAUAAAAAGACUUUAUUCCCAAUCGAACUGUCAGGAUCUACAAUAGAAGAUCUGUCCCAGGAGAAUACCAUCCAUGUUGUUAUUGAAGCUGAUUUCAGUACUUUCAGCAAACAAAGCUAUGCCUCUCACUGCCAGAUUGAGGAGUUUGGUGUAGCUCGUGCAUGGCUUGCACAUGAGGCUUUGCUUCUUCUCUUGGAGAGCAAUGAGGAACAGUUAUCCAAAUUGAUUGCCUCAUACAUGGGAAAUACCAUCAGUAUAGGACCAGGUCUAGAGCUGCUAAAGAUUUUAUCUGUUGAAGUGAAGGGGAAGCCUUGUUUACUCCUUAAUGCUGAUUCAAUUCCUGCAUUCAACCCAUCAUCUCGAAGAGGCACAAGUGUACGCAAGCGGGCCGUAGCAGCUAGUCAAUGGCAGUCUCACGUCAGUCUGCUGCAGACGUUCAGCCGGGCCGCAGCACAAGCGGCUCUCUUGAAGUCUCCUGCCCCUAUUGAGGGUCACAGAUCGGCCAUGGUGGUGCCAGGGUCCGGUGCUGGUUACACACCAAUGGAGGAAGUGAAGCCGUUUCCCGCGGAGUCCGAACCUCAGCCGCUUGAGAUCAGCGAUCCUCUCACUGUAGCCACUCCCACAGUGGAGGAGUUGCCACCUCUGGAGCCUGAGGAGCGUUCCAUGUCCAUGACCAGUCUCAGCGCCCAGCCUGGCAGCACAGGUUCUAGCUUUGGCUCUCUGUCCCGUGUCAGCACCGAUACUUUACUGGCAGCCUCGGUACACUCAAGGACAGGUAUGGUGAAUGGCAGCAGUGGCUCUAUGAGCUCUCUACGUUCCAUCACCAACACUCCCAAGCACAUUAGAGUGACUGUACCACACAAUGCUGACACCUCGGGGAAACCUCCCAAUGUAAUUGUUUUCUCUGAAAGUUCUGUAUCUGCUGAGAGUGUAAAGAAUACCCUCUGGUCUAUCCUCCAUAAGCACAGGUACACAAUCUACAGUCUAAGCCUGUCACAAAUGAUGUCAUCAGCAUGGGUGGGACAGGCGACCCUAGUGGUGGUGUGUGGCAGUGUCCCUACUACCCUUGCCCCCAUACUGCUGCAGUACGUACUGGUGAAGGGUGGCUCACUGCUAUGUCUCUGCUCAGACCUUCUCGGUGUGUUCCUACCGAUCUUCCGCACAGCCGAAGUGCGCCCUGACCAGCUUGUCACCUUCUCUUACUCCAGCUGGAAACAUGUCCGCAUGAUGCAUCAUAUAUUCUGCUACCAGCCUGCCAGUUCUGCCAAGUUUUCUUCGUCGGAUGAAACCAACAGUAUAAACAUUCCAAAGUCAGUGGAAGUGCUGGAUGAUGACAACAAGCUGCACACGCUCUCAGUGAAGGUGCUCGGGGCAGAGGAGACAUGGCAAACCCCAAGCCUUCUGUUAGGCACUGAAAACCAAUCCGGUGGCAGAGUAGUUUUCUCUCAGGUACAUUUGGAGGCUGACCCUUCUCAAUAUGAGAGCGAUGAAGAUAAGGCAAAAGCUCUGAAAGAAAGUAAUCCAGCCAGAAUAGAAAUAUUCUCAGACUUGUUAUCCACACAUCUUGGCCUUGACUGCAGUAGAGACAAGACAGACACAAAGUACAGUGCUGCCUAUUUCCUUGGCUCUCAUGAGCUAAAGCAAGAAUUUAUGAACAAAAUAAAGACUCGCUUGGAAGGAGGAAACACACUCAAGUUGCCAGAUUUAACUCUCAAGUUCUGUGGAAAGGGUGUCUCUCCCCCUGAAGCCUCCUCCAGUUUGCUGCCUGUGCUCAUGUAUGCUUGCCCAGAUUCUUUCUCUACUGUCAGCUACUUUGACAACUUGGAAUCUAAGACACUGGGACGACUGGUGAUCUUCUCCUCUGUGAUGACUACAGCCAUGGCAGUGCUGACUGGACCUCCUCUUGCUCAUGGUCUGGCUGUCAUUCCCAGCCAGCAGACCUCUGGUGUGGGUCGAGGCGGGAACAUGUGGUUGAGUCCUGAGGGUUGUGCCAUGUUUGCCUUCCAACUGCAUAUCCCCCUCAAGUCAGAGCUGGGCCGACUUCUACCAUUCCUGCAGCACACUGUGGCACUUGCUAUUGUCUCUAGUGUCUGCUCCCAGCCUGGUCUGGAGGUGUUGGAGUUGGGUUUGAAGUGGCCAAAUGAUAUUUAUGCUGGUGCUUUAAAAGUAGGAGGUCUGAUUGUAACAAGUGUGAUUUCUAACGCAUGUGCAAUUUGUAAUGUAGGCUGUGGCUUUAAUCUGGAUAACAAGUUCCCGACAGUGUGUAUAAACGACAUGAUAACCCAAUUGAACAAAGCCUCAGGACAGAAGCUGCCUCUGCUGACCAAAGAGAAGUUCUUUGCCAUUGUGUUCAACCAACUGGAGAAGUUGUUACUGAUGAUCGAGUUAGGAGAACAAGACAAAGUGCUUGAAAUGUAUUACAAAUAUUGGUUGCACGGAGGAGCUGAAGUAGACGUAACAGGACCUGAUGGGACUGUACAACAUGUCACCAUUGUUGGCAUCGAUGAGUACGGCUUCCUGCGUGUGCAAGCAGCCGACCGGUCAGAGUUCACCGUACAGCCUGACGGCAACUCAUUCGACAUGUUGGCUGGUCUCAUAGCACCUAAAGUCAAAUAAUCAUGUUUUAUAUCUUAUCCGUAAUCUCUCAUGCUCUUGGUUCCAUUCAGCUUCCUCAGUGGUCUAUUUUUGUUGCAUACACCAUAACUCAAAACAGAUCAAAUAUAUUUUUGUAAGUGAUGAAUUCAAGAUUUCAUACAUAUUCUGCACUGUAGUAUUUAGUAAAAUAUCACAAACAAUAUUGAAUUGUAACAACAAAAGAUGUUUUUGACAUUCAUUCGCCUUUACCUGGUGAUUGUGAAACAUUAGACUUUUGUGACUGUAGUUUUAAUUAAUUUACUGUCAUGGUUUUUAAUCAGAACUCUAAAGUAUAAUUUGUGUGUUUAAAAUUUAAAUAAUUAUCAUCUGAAUACAUAGAAAUUAAAUUCUAUUUUCUAUUUAUAUCUAUUUUCAUAUGUGUGAAUAAAUUGCUCUAGUAAUUUGGAGUUUUUGAAAAUUAAUAUUCCUGUAGCAAUGAUUCAGAGCGUAAGCAAAAUAGUCAAUCUAAGACUAAAAAUAUACUGUGUUGAAUAUUAUACUGAAGAAUGAUUAAUGAAUUUUAAUUACAUCGGGAUUACAAGAGCAUGAGUGUCAGUUCUAUUGUAAGUACCAAAAGUAAAGACCACUAGUAAAAGACGUUCUUUGUAAAUUAUUUAUGCAAUUGAUGCCAUCAAAAUCAAGAUUUAAAAAAUGUUAUGUUGUUUAAUAAUAAUUUUUUAGUAAUUUCCUUUAAAAGGAUUUCAAAUACAUUCUGAUAAGAAAUUACAGUUGAACAGUGUAUUUCCUUAUUAUUAUGAUCUGUUAUAAUUAUUUGUUUAAGAUUUUAAGUAUCAAUUUGAAGUAAUGUAGGCAGUUGAUGCAAGGUUAAAAGUUUUUAGACUCUUAUUUAAGCAGGAAUGCUGUGAAAUGAAAAUUUCUCUUUUGGCAUUUCGAAACAAUACUGAUAAAGUGUCAAGUCAUUUAGUAUUUGUCUGUUACUGUUGACAGAAGCUGCUGGUGGUUCUGACAAAGAGCCUCUUACUCAUUGGAUUUUAAAAUUAAAUUUGUUCUUUAAAACAGAUGUUCAACAUUUAUUAUGAGGGUUACAAAGAAAGCAACAUGUUUGAGCUGUUUUAAUUUUCUUCAAGAAGUUGUAAAUUUACUAUUAAUACUUUUAUUUGAUUAAUUUAAUUGUAUUGUUAUUGUGCAUUACAAAGAAUUAAACAUUAAUUUGUACAUUAAUUGUUGUUUUUGUGUAAUUUUAUUUUCAGUUAUAUAAUUGAAUUUUGUUCAUCUAUUUGAAUUUCGUUAAUCUAUUUUAUUAUUUGGGUUGAACAUGUGAAAGGAUAUGGACUGACUUUUCCUGAUGAAAAGACUUAUUCAUGUAUUCCAUCUUCAUCAGCUGUACCAUUUAUAUUUACUCUCAAUUCUUUUUGUUGGCAGUUAAAAUUUUUGUAACUAUAUGAUGGUUUUCACAGCAUCAUAAAAAUAUACCAACUCUUCCAUGUUAAAUUUAUGUUCAGAGGCAAUGCACCCAUAGUUAUUAGAUGUUCAUAUGCACCAUUUCUUCAGAUUAACAUUGUUGCCAUAUGUGUGAAAGCAAAGAGGUGACCACUCUGAAAGUUAUCUUUAAUGUAUACACUGAUUUUGUAUGAUAAAUCUAUGUAACUUUGCACUUCUGUUGUUUUUACCAUAUCUCCUCCAUAUACUUUCUUCACCACAUUAAGAGUCUUGGAUAAUGGUUUCUUGAACAAAAUGUAGAAUUUCAUGUUGGCAAACUUCUAGCUUUAAAGAUGGCAAUUUAAAAAUCGGAUGAUUAAACAUUGUCUGUUGUCAGUAAAUACCCGCAUCUUUAUACAGCAAUAACAGGAAGAAUGCCAGACACUUAGGUACUUUCACCAUAGGAAGAGAAAUUUUCCCUUCAGCAAAUCUCUGCUUGAAUAUAACCAACAAUUCCUGGAACUUUUUGACAAUAUAAUUCACAUUUAUGUUAUUUUAUUCCAGUGGGAUUUCUUAAAGAACCAUGUGUAAUAUUAAAGUGUUAUCUUGUAUUCAGAUUCUAAAUGUUAUUACUUAUCAACAAAAUGUAAAUAAAUAUACAUAUAUAAUUACAUAUUAUAACAUAUAUAUAUAUAUAUAUUGUUAAUUUUGGUCCUUCUAAUUUUGGACAUUCCAGUUUGUGAGCGUAAGAAUAUAAUUUUGUUCUCAUGUACUGUCACUUUUCUUCUGUAAGAUAAUAUACAGUAGUUAAAUCAGUUUUCAACAAUCUAACUUUAUGACAUUAAAAUUUGAGGCCUUUUAAUCCUUGUUGUACCGUUUUCCAAAGUUGUAAAUAUUUAUAGUGUUACUUGCAGAAGAAGAGGAACUGUAAGAAGGCAUAUCCAAGUUAAAUCUAAUGUAGCUUUAAUUCAUAUGGGAUUAAUGUAGAGUUAACAUUUUUCUUAGAGCAAGUUUAUAGUUAUGAGAAUUUUGUUAUGAAAUAAUUAUCAGCAAAGCCAUGCAUCAUAUCCUAAGUUUUGAGUGACCUAUGCAAUUUGUGGCCAUGACAACUUGAACUAGGAUGUUACCAAAGUAAGAUUGUUGUUCCUAUUAAUUGUGUUGGUCAAGGGUUAAAAACAAAAUUACAUUUGGGGAAGAGCAAAUGAAAGACUGACUUUGAUGCUGUUGUUUUGCUGAUAACAGAAAUUAUUUACGUUUUCUUGUUUUAACAUAAUGAUUUGCACUGUGAUAAAGUUGAUGUAGUUCAUACUGCUCUAGAAGUCCUAUAGUGCUAUUAAGACUGUAGUCGUGUUCGUGCGUGUUCUCAUUCACUUCUUGUCAAUAGUUGUUGUACUUAUAGGUAAUGAGGCAAUUUCUAGUGAUUUAAUCAUCAAGCGUGUAUCAAUGUGUUUGUGUACUAUAAAAUCAAUCAAUCUCAAAUAUUGCAUUACAGCAACAAAUAAUUAACUUAACAGUAAAAUUUAUGUUUUAUUGUUGGAAAUUAUAUACAUCUUUGAACUCACAAUGGUUUUGCAGCACUUGUGGUUCCAAAUUUUAUACUGAUACUGUAGCAGUGCAGGGAUGCCAUCACAGUGUGAAUCAUAUUUAUUUUGCAGAUAAUAGAACUGAAGUACAUUUUUUAUCAAAGUAAAUAAUAACUACUUAUCUUAAAUUUUAUUCAAAUAAUAAAAAAAUAUAAAACUAUAAUUGUAAUUAUAGUAUUACAAAAUAUGUCUCUAUAUAAAUAGUAAUAAAUUAACAAGAUAAACAAUUAUAAAUAUAUUGGGAAAAUGAAGAACAAUUUUUAAGGAGUGUAAAUGAACAUCUUUUGUUGUAAUAGUGUAAAUAUAUUAAUAAAUAGUAAAGAAAUAUUAUUACAACACGUGUGGCACUAAAGCUCAUGUGGUGGUGUUAUUGGUAAGAAGUGUAUUGUUAUGUUUACCAUAAAUUAUUUUGCAUUGGAUGUGAUAAAAGAAUUUUGUUUGGAAAUAAAGCGAAGAUUUCUUCUUUUAAGUACAUGAAAUCUUAUUUAAACUAAUUUUAUUGUUUGAUUAAUUCAUCGUUCAACGUCACUUUUAGCAAUUUUAAAUAUUUCAGUUUGUGACAGUUUGGAUGCUAUCAUCAAAUCAAUCAUCUCUGGUUUCGUACUGUGUUUAUGUAUAGUACAGCAAUUCCUCUUUUUAUUGAGAAAAAAAAUUAGUAGGUUUCUCCAUAUAAUAUGAACAUGCUAUAAAAUUACCAUUUACUUAUUUGUAUAUUUUGAUAACAACAUUUGAACAAAAAUUGAAGAACCCAUUCAUGUAUUGCGGGAACAUUUCGUACUUGUACACAACAUACACAAGCGUUCAGUGCACUCAAUAUACUAGUAAUAGUAAGAUAUUUUUGGAAUUUUAAUAUUGACCCAGGUUUACUAACAAUUGUAGCAGCAGUGUCCCUAUUUGGUUUAUUUUCCUUAAUGCAUGUGAAAACAAGAAAGUCUAAAAGAAACUUACAUUUGGAAAAAUGAUUAUUUAAAACUGUUACUCUCUAUAUAAGCUACAUUUUAAUAACAGUAAUUUUAUUAAGGUUAUUGAUUUUACUCCUGAAUUAUAUGUCUAUUUUGUGUGUAUUACUGAUUAAUCUGAUUAAUAUACCUACUAUUUUUGUUGGAAUCUUGUUUUUUGCACUUUAGUGGUAAUAAUUUUGUACCAAUAACUGUGGAGUGGAUAAGUAAGUACCAAAUUUAACUGUAUGACACUUAAUUUCUGUAUUGCUGACCCCUAACUUUUAAGUUUAAAAUUUUGUGAUUAUUUGGCUAUAAAUAAUCAUGAUUUUGUGCAAGAUAGAUCUCAAGAAUUGGUUUAUAGAUUGUUGUACUUGAUUAGUCUAAUGAAUGAUUCUGUCAUUUGAAAACAAAUCUCAACUAACAACUAGACUAAAUACAGUUUUGAUGAUGAUAUUAUGGUAUAGUGCAAGUGUAUAAAUUUCCAUGCAGUGUCAUUUGUGAGGCUGUGUAAGUGCUAUUAUGUUUUCAUUGCUUGAAUUAAGUAGACAUUUAAUUAAUAUUAAAUCUUAAAUUAAUACUUGACAUCACAUAAGUUUGGUAUACCAAGUGUAAAAAAUAAACUCUGUAGUAGGUUAUUGAUGGUAAUUUUAUAUUUAUUUCAUA
rnacentral:misc_RNA from 1 species